CCUCAAACGAUCUAAAAAACGGGUUUUCUUCCAAUUUUUAGUUCCCUUCUAAAAUCCAACACUCGUCUGCACCGCAAACUGUGACACAUAUUUCUAGUUCCUUUUCCUAUUCCGGCUUCGGCCAGAAAUUUUAUUAGCUGUUAAUACUCGAACUUGGAUUGUCUUGGGGCUAUUACGCUCUACUUGUGCAUUAGGAGAGGUUGGGCGCACAGUUUUUAAUCGGUCACACACACACACACACGAAGAAUAUCUCCAAAAAAGUACGACUUAUUAUGACGAACACCAUCAUAUUGUAAAUGACAGCUGCCUUCUUGAUCUCAUGAGGAUUGUUUGAAAGGUGUUUGAUGUCUAGUCAAAGAGCUUACAACCUGCACGGAUACAGUUACAGUUCUACUGUGUUGCCCUAUAAUCAUCAGCCUUUGACGAGGGAAAGAAUGGCUGGUGGAGAUAUCUGGGUCCAGUGGUUCACAUGCUGUGUGACUCAACAACCUCCUCCA